rnacentral:rRNA from 1 species
GCUAGUAAUCGCGGAUCAGCAUGCCGCGGUGAAUACGUUCCCGGGCCUUGUACACACCGCCCGUCACACCAUGAGAGUCGGGAACACCCGAAGUCCGUAGCCUAACAGCAAUGAGGGCGCGGCCGAAGGUGGGUUCGAUAAUUGGGGUGAAGUCGUAACAAGGUACC